rnacentral:pre_miRNA from 1 species
CUACUACUCCCUCCGUUCCGAAUUACUUGUUUUGGAUUUGUCUAGAUACGGAUGUAUCUAGACUUAUUUUAGUGCUAGAUACCUCCGUAUCUAGAUAAAUCUAAGACAAGUAAUUUGGAACGGAGGGAGUACUUG